GUCCACGCCGUAAACGAUGAAUGCUAGACGUUGGGACCCCUAGGGUUUCAGUGUCGCCGCUAACGCAUGAAGCAUUCCGCCUGGGGAGUACGGCCGCAAGGUUAAAACUCAAAGGAAUUGACGGGGGCCCGCACAAGCGGUGGAGCAUGUGGUUUAAUUCGACGCAACGCGCAGAACCUUACCAGCUCUUGACAUGGGAAGUAUGGGCCUGAGAGAUCGGGUUCUUCAGUUCGGCUGGCUUCCACACAGGUGCUGCAUGGCUGUCGU
rnacentral:rRNA from 1 species